rnacentral:rRNA from 1 species
GUGGACGAUUCCGGCUCCAUAGCGUAUAUUAAAGUUGUUGCGGUUAAAAAGCUCGUAGUUGGAUUUCUGCAUGGAAGGAGCGGUCCACCCAUUGGGCGCGUACGGCUACCUUUGAUGCAUCUUUCUGAGGACGUGUUCUUCACUUAAUUGUGAGGGCGCAGGACUCAGGACAUUUACUUUGAGGAAAUGAGAGUGUUUCAAGCAGGCAAAUGCCUUGAAUACGUUAGCAUGGAAUAAUAGCAUCGGACCAUCGUCCAGCUGUUGGUGUCUGGGCGAAAGUAAAGGUGAAUAGGGAUUGUGUGGGGGCAUUCGUAUUUAUACUGUCAGAAGGUGAAAUUCUUGGAUUUUGUUGAAGACGCGACCAACUGCGAAAAGCACUCUCGCCAAAGAUGUUCUCUAAUUGUGUCACAAGAACACGAAAGUUAUAGGUAUAUCAAAGCACAGAUACGGGAUACCGUCUUAUGUCUUACACUAUAACACUUAUGCCGCACUGAAGAUAUAGGAGACGGUUAUUUCUUACGAACUCUUUUCUGGCUUUCUUGAAAGAAAAUCAAAGUCUCUUUGGGUUCCGGGGGGGAGAUAUUGGCCCCCAAGGCUGAAACUUAAAAGAAAUGGCCGGGAGAGGGGCACCCCCCGGAGAUGUAGACUCGGCGGUUUAUAUUGACUUACACACGGGGAACUCUUCACAGUCUCGACAUAUAGGGGGAGUAGUGACGAACGGAGAGACCUUUUCUUGAAUUCUUAGGUGGGUGUGUGCUGGGCCCUUUUAUAUUGGGGGGGGGGAAGGGCGGGGAAACCCGGACACAAAAGAACAUCUUACCGCGUAAAUAGGACAGGCCCCUCUUGGGUUUGGCGUCCCUUUCUUAGGGGGACUCGCGUGUGUCAAACGGAGGAACGCGUGAGGCAAUAACAGGUCUGUGAUGCCCUUAGAUGUUCUGGGCUGCACGCGCGCUACACUGAUGCGUUCACGAGUCUGCUUGGCCGAGAGUCUGGGUAUCUUGUGAAAGCGCAUCGUGAUGGGGAUAGAUUAUUGCAAUUGUUAGUCUCACGAGAAUCCUAGUAAGCGCGAUCAUCACUCGUGCUGAUACGUCCUGCCUUUUACACCCGCCCGUCCUCUCACGAUA